GAUGAACGCUAGCGACAGGCCUAACACAUGCAAGUCGAGGGGCAUCGGGGCGUAGCAAUACGCUGCCGGCGACCGGCGGAUGGGUGAGUAACGCGUAUGCAACCUGCCUUCAGCAGGGGGAUAGCCCGUUGAAAGACGGAUUAAUACCCCGUAACACAGGGGCUCCGCAUGGAGAUUAUUGUUAAAGGGAUACUUCCUUCGGGGGGUAUUCCGGCUGAAGAUGGGCAUGCGUUCCAUUAGGUAGUUGGUUGAGGUAACGGCUCACCAAGCCUACGAUGGAUAGGGGAACUGAGAGGUUGGUCCCCCACACUGGUACUGAGACACGGACCAGACUCCUACGGGAGGCAGCAGUGAGGAAUCUUGGUCAAUGGACGGAAGUCUGAACCAGCCAUGUCGCGUGAAGGAGGACGGCCCUAAGGGUUGUAAACUUCUUUUGCAGCGGAAUAAAGUAUUCCACGAGAUGGGAUAUUGCAAGUACGCUGCGAAUAAGGAUCGGCUAACUCCGUGCC
rnacentral:rRNA from 1 species